AGUUCGUCCUCUCACAUAAUGCUGCAGUUGUUGUACAAAAGGUACAUUUACGAGUACUUUUAUUCUUCUCUUUCUAUCUUCCUUUGCCUUUGAGGCUUUUCUUGGUUCAUAUACUCUUACUUUUACUGCCAAUUAUUACCCAAAAUAUUCCCUUUAAUUUAAUUAAAUGGUUGUAUGUCUAGUGAUCUCUUAGUGGUGCCCUGCAUAACUCAUGA